GAUGAACGCUGGCGGCGUGCCUAAUACAUGCAAGUCGAGCGAACAGACGAGGAGCUUGCUCCUCUGACGUUAGCGGCGGACGGGUGAGUAACACGUGGAUAACCUACCUAUAAGACUGGGAUAACUUCGGGAAACCGGAGCUAAUACCGGAUAAUAUAUUGAACCGCAUGGUGCAAUAGUGAAAGACGGUUUUGCUGUCACUUAUAGAUGGAUCCGCGCCGCAUUAGCUAGUUGGUAAGGUAACGGCUUACCAAGGCAACGAUGCGUAGCCGACCUGAGAGGGUGAUCGGCCACACUGGAACUGAGCCACGGUCCAGACUCCUACGGGAGGCAGCAGUAGGGAAUCUUCCGCAAUGGGCGAAAGCCUGACGGAGCAACGCCGCGUGAGUGAUGAAGGUCUUCGGAUCGUAAAACUCUGUUAUUAGUGAAGAACAAAUGUGUAAGUAACUAUGCACGUCUUGACGGUACCUAAUCAGAAAGCCACGGCUAACUACGUG
rnacentral:rRNA from 1 species